AAUCAACGCUGGCGGCGUGCCUAAUACAUGCAAGUCGAACGCGAAGACCCCGCAAGGGGUUUGUAGCGUGGCAAACGGGUGAGUAACGCGUGGGCGACCUACCUUCGAGUGGGGGAUAACCUUCCGAAAGGAGGGCUAAUACCGCAUGACAUGCUCUGUUUAGAUACAGGGACAUCAAAGCCGGGGAUCGCAAGACCUGGCGCUUGGCGAGGGGCCUACGUCCGAUUAGCUAGUUGGUGGGGUAAUGGCUCACCAAGGCUUCGAUCGGUAUCCGGCCUGAGAGGGCGGACGGACACACUGGGACUGAGACACGGCCCAGACUCCUACGGGAGGCAGCAGUAGGGAAUUGUUCGCAAUGGGCGCAAGCCUGACGACGCAACGCCGCGUGGAGGAUGAAGACCUUCGGGUCGUAAACUCCUUUCGACCGAGAUGAAUACGUGCCGACCUAAUACGUCGGCGCGCUGACAGUAUCGAGGGAAGCAGCCCCGGCUAACUCCGUGCCAGCAGCCGCAGUAAUAC
rnacentral:rRNA from 1 species